GAUGAAGAACGUAGUGAAAUGUGAUAAGUAGUGUGAAUUGCAGAAUUCAGUGAAUCAUCGAAUCUUUGAACGCACAUUGCGCCCCUUGGUAUCCCGAGGGGCAUGCCUGUUCGAGCGUCAUUUCACCACUCAAGCCUGGCUUGGUGUUGGGCGACGUCCCCUUUGGGGACGCGCCUCGAAACGCUCGGCGGCGUGGCACCGGCUUUAAGCGUAGCAGAAUCUUUCGCUUUGGAAGUCGGGGCCCCGUCUGCCGGAAGACCUACUCGCAAGGUUGACCUCGGAUCAGGCAGGGAUACCCGCUGAACUUAAGCAUAUCAAUAAGCGGAGGA
rnacentral:misc_RNA from 1 species